CUUGACGCGUCUAACAUCAGCCAGAUCUAUCACCUCCUCCCUAAUCUUCUUCAUGGUCGAGAAGAGGGGAUUGAGCUCCACUAGCAUCCUCCUAUCUCGUUCCAAGGUAUCUGGGUACACUUGAUUCUUACAAAACUUCUCAACAUCGGGGACUCUCCAUUCAGGCCAGUAAGCUAGGUCGAUAUCUCGAGCUAUGGCAUAGAAUCAACCCUUUCCAUCCAUUCAAAGAACUAGCCAUCUUAGGCACCCUAAACCCUCCUAUCAUCGAGAGAUACCCAAAACACGUGUACCGAGAAUGCUUUUUCAGAAGACUAACUUACAAAGGUCAACGCAGGGCACCAUACCUAAGUACCUACAAGCUAUAAAGAAAUACAUGAGCAUUCUCUAGGCAUUGGCACUAGCUGCCACGGGCACAUGGAGUGCUUAACCAAAAUUGCGAUGAAGAAAGGGUGUAACGGCCACCUAAAAUCAGCCUUUAAAGUCUCCCUAAAAAUGAUGAACUUCUCGCACUAUUCUAUCCUCAGGGUCUGGCGACCUUAUGUGGCAAUUAGGCAUUAGGCCACACUCCCUAGCUACAGCUAUAGCCAGAUGUUCUUUCAAAGUAGAGACCUCAUCGGGAUACUCGAAGGCAACAUUAUCCUGAACCCUAGGUCUGGCAUCUAGAGGAAUAGCUGUUAGUAUUAUCGAGGUGCCUAAGUCUUCACCAUUACUCGAGCUAUUAGAACGAUCACUCCCCUCACUACUCGACACUAUUUAAUGAAAGUAAGUCCUAGCUUAUGGAAUAACUUAGAAUCUCGAGCCUUACCUGGAGUUACCGACAACUGGAGAAGUUCCAAAGUAUUUUGCUCGAACUCGACCUCGCUGAGCUUGGAUUUACAGUGGGUAAAAGUGAAAAAUGAGGGGGUAAACAAUAAUAUUUAUAGGUAAGAAAAGACAAGAGUCCAAAGGUCGCCAUCUAUGGUUGUUCAGAGAGACAUGUGUCACACAUCCAGGGCUGCUCUCUGCAAUAGUCAUAUCAGUCAAGACCAUAUCGUUAGCCCAUGUUCCUCGAUGACACAAUCUACAACGAUGGAUUAACAACUCAUGUGCACCCCAUCCCGGAGCUCGCGCUCUACGAAGAGUGCACGGGGACUAGUGAUACUACCAAUAUUGGAUAUCUCGAGGAGUGUUUUACUCGACGACUCCCUACAUGCUCAAACUCUAUUUUCUGACACGAAGUCCUCGAGAAAUGUUGGUCCUCGUGAUACUAUGCCCGAAGACUUUGUUCAUACUACCAUGAGACUCGCCUCUUAGUGUCCUUGAAAAAUUCUCCUGGGGUCACAGUUCUUUGAAAUGUCCUCAAAAUGUAUAUAUUCAAACAACAAAUGCUUAAACCCCCAAUGACUUUAUGUCAACUCUAACACCACUAGUCGUACAGUUCUAUUAGAAGUAGGACAUUCCUCUCAAGUGAAACUCUAUUCGAAAGGAACUUCGAAAGGAACACCUAAUUAGUUCAAUCAACCCAUUAUAGGAUUGAACUACUCACCACUAUAAAUAUAGACCAUCAACCCAUUAAUUAGGUACGUUUUUUCCUCAAUCCGCUUUCUAACUUAAGCAUGGAGGGGUGAUGAAAAUACAUCUCGUUGCCUUUGUUUCAGGAGAUCUACAGGGUACAAUUUUUUGUAGCAUCAGAUACCAUGAUGAAUAUCAAACUUCACCAAUUAAACAAAAUGAAACUCAGAAAUCAAAUCCAUCAAAUAAAACCCACAAAUCAAAUCUAUCUCAAUGGUAUGAUUAACAUUCAUCAGAUAAUGAAAAUGAGUCUACAAAAGUUCCACUGCGAGGAGGAAUAAUAGUUCUUACACAGAUCUACGCGAAUUUUCAUCAAAUUGGAGUUAUGGAGAUGGUAGAUGGGGAUUCUAUGAUGAUAUACUCAAGCCGAUUUCAUCUUUGUCAGCGAAGCUUAGAAGUAACUGUUGUUGGUUUGUGUGUGAAAGAGAGGGAAGCACUUUUCUGGUUCUUCUGCAGCUUCUAAUUUAUGGGAUUCCAAGAAAAGGGUUGUUUGCUUUCAAAAAUGAAGAAAUCAUUGGGCAAAACAGAGGUGUAGGUGUGGUUGGCUGUGGGGACGAAGAGGUUUGUGGAAAAUGGACAACACCUCUCUCUCUCUGGUUUAAUUAUUUUAUUAUUAUUGUAAGUAUACCAUUUUGCC
rnacentral:lncRNA from 1 species